GAGAUAUUGCACAUGUACAAUCCUAAUUUUCAUGCGCGUUAUACGAAGAGUAUAUCUAAAAAUUUAAAAAGAAUUAUUAGAAAUUAAGUGAUCAUUAUUUUGAGAAAAUAAAACUGUAUACAUGUUUUAAUUUUAUCACCUUUUUUUAUUUGUUUGCCUUUAAUUUAAAAAAAAAAUUAUUUCAUUUGUUAUCAUGGUAAACAUGUUUUUUUUUGUUUUUGUUUUUCAGUGUUCCUAUUGUACUGGUUGGAAAUAAAGUGGAUUUGCAUAUGGAAAGAACAGUAUCAUAUGAAGAAGGAAAACGAGCUGCUGAAAGCAUGAGAGCAGAGUUUUUAGAGGCAUCUGCUAAA